rnacentral:pre_miRNA from 1 species
UUUUAUGGAUGAGCAAAGACAGUGGUUUCCUGAGAUAGAAUCCACUCUGGUGACAGUGCUGUAAA